rnacentral:tRNA from 1 species
GCAUUGGUGGUUCGGUGGUAGAAUUCUAGCUUGCCAUGUUGGAGGCCUGGGUUCGAUUCCCAGCCAAUGCA